CCCUUAGAUGUUCGGGGCCGCACGCGCGCUACACUGAGGGAAUCAGCACGUCUUUCUCCUUGUCCGAAAGGACUGGGUAACCCGCUGAACCUCCUUCGUGCUAGGGAUUGGGGCUUGUAAUUCUUCCCCAUGAACGAGGAAUUCCCAGUAAGCGCGAGUCAUAAGCUCGCGUUGAUUACGUCCCUGCCCUUUGUACACACCGCCCGUCGCUACUACCGAUUGGAUGGUUUAGUGAGAUCCUCGGAUUGGUCCCGGCGCGGCCUCUGGUCGUGCCGGAGUGCCGAAAAGAAUGUCGAACUUGAUCAUCUAGAGGAAGUAAAAGUCGUAACA
rnacentral:rRNA from 1 species